GUACAGCAAAGCUGUUUUUGGUUUCUGUUUACUGCGCGAUGCCUUCUUUCUUCUCCCCUGCUCUCCCUGUUACUGUUAGGAUUUGGAAUGGAAACUCAUUUAUGUGCUGAGGAUGAGAUAUAUGAUCAACUUCAUGAAAGUAUGCUUGUUGGGCCAGUAAUGUUGCCAGCCACCCUUUUGUCCAUGAGGCCCCUGGCAGGCAGAUCCUCCAGAUCCAUAAAAAAUGUGUGAUUAUGAAUUGAAGACAUCAUUGGUGUCACGGUACUGCUAUUGACAUAUGCUUAUCUGGGACUAGAGUUUAUUCAAGUUGGAUGCUAUGUGAACAAUGAUUAUGAUGAUGAAUGGCUGCGAGAGGAACCUCCACCAGAGGUUUUGAUUGAUAGGGUUCAAAGAAAUAUUUUGGCUGACAAUCCCAAGGUCACGGAGAUGUUAAUCGAAGAACCCCCUCCUUUAACCGAGUAUGCCAUUGAAACCAAUGAGAAUGGAGAAAAACCAUGCCACUCCCUUCACCUGAUUGUCCGUCCAACU